UAUAAGCAUUUAGAAGUAUGUCUAAGCUAUUUGAAUCAUUGGCCUUGAUAAAACUAGUGAGCAUAAGCAUGAAUGGUGUCACUCGUGUCGCCUUAAUUGCAGAAGUAUCAUCUAGACUUGUGUUCCAUGUUGGAUUGAAUCUGUUUCAUUCAUAUAGUUAGUGUAACCUAAUGCAUUCAUCUAUUGUUGCAUUUAAAAAAAAAACUGAAUUGAUUGUCUAGCUUGUUUCAAGUAUCAUAUAUUAUUGUGGCAUUGGUGAUCAAACAGGAUGGAUUAUCUUGGUUUGAUCCCAAUGGGAUGAUCUGAUCUUGCAUUGAGUUUUGGUGGUGUUAGGUACACAAGGGAAGUGAUACAUGUAACUCGCCAUCAACCAAGAAUGUAGAGACAAAGGUCUUGUGCCAUUGCAUAUCAUCACUAGGACAUGUUAGUCCAUAAUCUACAGGAAGUGUAGUGUGAUUAAGUAUGCAAUGAGAGAUAGCCAUUGCAUAAUACCAUUGGACAUAUCUAGUCCUUAGUCUACAGGAAGUGUAGCAUGGGUCAUUAUGCAAUGAGAGGUGUGUCUUGUGAGACUCUCUAUGGUGAUUCAAACACCCUAGUUCCUGGUUAAGGAAGAGAGUAAACUCACAAGAAGAAAGCUAUCAUGAAAGAUGAUAGUUAUUAGACCAUGGGGAUGCAUAGGAUCAUCACAAGCUUAGCUCCUUCUAGUCUCG
rnacentral:lncRNA from 1 species